rnacentral:siRNA from 1 species
ACAGGUCGAGUGGUUUGUCAGCU